rnacentral:rRNA from 1 species
AGCGGCGGACGGGUGAGUAACGCGUGGGUAACCUGCCUCAUACAGGGGGAUAACAGUUAGAAAUGACUGCUAAUACCGCAUAAGACCACGAGCACCGCAUGGUGCGGGGGUAAAAACUCCGGUGGUAUGAGAUGGACCCGCGUCUGAUUAGCUAGUUGGUAAGGUAACGGCUUACCAAGGCGACGAUCAGUAGCCGACCUGAGAGGGUGACCGGCCACAUUGGGACUGAGACACGGCCCAA